CGUAUGUGAUUGGUGCCGGUGCCCGUGUAAAGCUCUUUCGACGAGUCGAGUUGUUUGGGAAUGCAGCUCAAAAUGGGUGGUAAAUUUCAUCUAAAGCUAAAUAUUGGCCAGAGACCGAUAGCGCACAAGUAGAGUGAUCGAAAGAUGAAAAGCACUUUGGAAAGAGAGUUAAACAGUACGUGAAAUUGUUGAAAGGGAAGCGCUUGCAAUCAGACUUGCGAGCGGUCGAUCAUCCGAGCUUCUGCCCGGUGCACUCGAUCGUUCUCAGGCCAGCAUCGGUUUCGGUGGUGGGAUAAAGGCUGUGGGAAUGUGGCUCUUCGGAGUGUUAUAGCCCACGGUGCAAUGCCGCCUACCGGGACCGAGGACCGC
rnacentral:rRNA from 1 species